rnacentral:miRNA from 1 species
AAUCUGAGAAGGCGCACAAGGU